rnacentral:rRNA from 1 species
GACGAACGCUGGCGGCGUGCCUAAUACAUGCAAGUAGAACGCACAGUUUAUACCGUAGCUUGCUACACCAUAAACUGUGAGUUGCGAACGGGUGAGUAACGCGUAGGUAACCUGCCCGGUAGCGGGGGAUAACUAUUGGAAACGAUAGCUAAUACCGCAUAAUAUUGUUUAUUGCAUGAUAAUUGAUUGAAAGAUGCUAUUGCAUCACUACCAGAUGGACCUGCGUUGUAUUAGCUAGUAGGUGAGGUAACGGCUCACCUAGGCGACGAUACAUAGCCGACCUGAGAGGGUGAUCGGCCACACUGGGACUGAGACACGGCCCAGACUCCUACGGGAGGCAGCAGUAGGGAAUCUUCGGCAAUGGACGAAAGUCUGACCGAGCAACGCCGCGUGAGUGAAGAAGGUUUUCGGAUCGUAAAGCUCUGUUGUAAGAGAAGAACGGGUGUGAGAGUGGAAAGUUCACACUGUGACGGUAUCUUACCAGAAAGGGACGGCUAACUACGUG